CGUUCAGUCAUUCUAUGCAU
rnacentral:miRNA from 1 species